UACUUGUGUGUAUUUUUUUUAUCCGUUCCAGCUGUUGUCUGCCCAGCUCCACUAUUCACCCAUCAUCUAGGUUUUGCCUUUUGCUUCUGAACGGUUCAAUCAACUGCAUUCCAGCGGCUUUGUGGCAGAGGGUAUGGGUGACGGUUGUACGAACUCGAAGUGGGUGUUUCAGCAAGAGAGAAGAAGGCAGCUUGCGUUUUCAUGAGAACUAUUCAUUCAUCAUCAACCAAAAUUGAAGUGGGUUUUUGGCAGAGGGUAUGGUGAGGCUUGUACGAAAUCGGAAGGGAUGGUUCGUGAAGAGAGAUGGAGAUGCUUGGGCUCUGGCGGAAGUACUUGAUGCAGAAGCAGGGAAAGAGGGAGGGAGGUCUGUAUGCAGAGGACUGGAGGAAGCUAGAUGACAAUGUGUGCGAAGUUGGAGCCGUCAAUUUCAUUCAUAUUCGUAUUCAGCAGAAACAUCAAACACAUACAACUAUCCAUCUUUUUGUUCAGUUUCUGCUCCAUCUCUCAAUCUAUUUCAAUCUCACACAACCAACCAACCAUAUCUUGCAUGUUCCAAUUUAUCUCUUCAUCCAAUCCAUUUGAUUUCACACACAAAACAACAAAAACGGCUCAAUCGUUCAUUCACUGAUAUUUCACUGCAGCCACAUCCACCUUCACUGAACCAGGUCAACAUGGAGAUCGAUAGAGCAAUCAGAGAGUGUGACGAUCGAAGGCUUCAGACCAAGUAUAACAAUGCUACCUAUGUUAUUCAGAGAGCCUUGGCUUUGUAUUCGAUGGGACGAAAUGAGGAUAUCCAUUGAUAUGUAGAGAAGGUGGUAGCUUGGUCUCGAGAAAGAGGGAGCAGAAGGUAGAGAAGUUGCUAUUAUUCUUCAUUGGUUCAAUGGGAUGGAUCAACAACUGGUGAGCACCAAGCAGAGUUUCAAUUUGAAUUGAACCAGUAGUGACUCAUUUCUAUGGUUAUCCACCUCCAUUUUUAAGGCCCAAGUUUCCAAGGCAACCAGGAAUGCCAACUGGUGAGCACCAAGCAGAGUUUCAAUUUGGUAAAUUGAACCAGUAGUGACUCAUUUCUAUGGUUAUCCACCUCCAUUUUUAAGGCCCAAGUUUCCAAGGCAACCAGGAAUGCCAGUUGUUAGAUGAGAGAAGAUCAUCAUUGUCUUAUGGUUUAUUCAUCUACUUAUCGAGGUGAUUGGGUACAAAAGAUGACGAGGGUUACCUGUGAUUUUGGCGAUACAAUGUAGAAAGAGGCAGUGUCUUCUAAAAUCUCACUCCAGAAUUCUUUCCCUAUUCACGUUCCCCGAUGAAAGUCCAAGCCUCUCUUUCAAUCUGAAUAUAUGCAUUUAAGAUGAUAAUAGAGGUAUUGCUUUAGGUGGAGACAGUAUCCUAGAGUUAGUUGAUUAGUUUUAACAUACGAGAAUUGUGAUUCAGUGGCUAAAAGCUAGAAGUAUGAGGCGAAAAUGUCAAUGAUAUUUAUACUUAUCCAUAUGUGCAUGUGAGCCUCACUUAGAACUCGAGUUCUAUCUCUCAAGAGUUGAGAUUUACGCGAUAUCAAUUUAAAGAGUGGGUCUAUAGUUUGUUUGUAAGAGUUUUAAGACUUUCAAGAUUUGUAAUUUUGUGCUAUUCUUGAAUUAAUUCUGGUUCCUUGGCACAAUAUGCACGAAAACUACCAUGUAUUAUUUGCAAGAAAAUUGAAUAUGAUUGAUGCUUAGGGAGUAGAA